GAGGGUACAGCUCAGUGGUAGAGCGCCUGUUUAGCAUGCACGAGGUCCUGGGUUCAAUCCCCAGUACCUCCA
rfam:Camelus ferus unplaced genomic scaffold scaffold334, whole genome shotgun sequence.